rnacentral:tRNA from 1 species
GCCGCGGUGCUGAAACCGGUAGACAGGCUAGGUUCAGAACCUAGUGUUCGCAAGGACGUGAGGGUUCAAAUCCCUCCCGCGGCACCA